UUUUAUGGUGGCUGUGCGCAGGGCACCCUCGGGUGCGCCGGGUUCCUAACGCUCCGGUCGACUAACCUGCGUACAGCUGCCACCCCA
rnacentral:antisense_RNA from 1 species